GACGAACGCUGGCGGCGUGCUUAACACAUGCAAGUCGAACGAAGUGGCGCACGGGUGAGUAACGCGUCAUCAACCUGCCCUUCAGAGGGGGACAACAGUUGGAAACGACUGCUAAUACCGCAUACUGAAGAUGGGGGUUGCGUCUGAUUAGCUAGUUGGGGGGGGAACGGCCCACCAAGGCGAUGAUCAGUAGCCGGGCCGAGAGGGUGAAUGGCCACAUGUGGACUUAGGCAACGCCCCGAACUCUUAGGGAGGCAGCCGUGGGGAAUCUUCCGCAAUGGACGAAAGUCUGACGGCGCAACGCCGCGUGAGUGAUGACGGCCUUCGGGUUGUAAAGCUCUGUUAAUCGGGGCGCGGUACCGGAAGAGAAAGCAACGGCUAACUACGUGCCAGCAGCCGCGGUAAUUC
rnacentral:rRNA from 1 species